rnacentral:lncRNA from 1 species
CAUACGAGGGCUGCCCCCCGAAGCAAGACGCAAGAGUUGUAAUAUGACCGCCCAACAGCGUAGAGACCUUUCCUGCCCAAACGUCUCAACAAACCUUUCAGUUCAGGAGCUCACGAGCCGAAGGCUCCUUCAGACAGCCAUGACUAUCCCAAAGUUGUAGUACAACCACACGCUACUUAAGAAAAGCAUCCGAAGGCGGUUGCGAUUAAGAAUCGGCAAAAGUCUCAGGACUACGGUUUCGAGAGGACCAAGCUUUGAUCAGAAUUUCAGUUCGGAAGGUUUCUGGCAUGUAUUCGGCUUCGGGUAUAGGCACUGCGCUCAUGGUAAAUGCACUGCUUCAGGUCACCAGUUUGGCUCCGGGACCACACGCUUUGCCGACCUCCGGAUGCAAUAUAUGUUUACCCGGCGUUAACGCAGGCACGAAGAAGCUUUGGGACCUUGCUGUAUUUUUGAUAUCAUGAAGGUCGGUGAUAAGCGUGGUUUUUUAUGACAUAUUUCGCUUACGUGUUACAUCGCAGUACGACUGUGCGUUAUACUUAAUAUUGGUACAGGCGUUGGCUAAGCGUGCACUAGCCUUUCUUUUAUUUUCCUUGCGUGGCUGAAGCGGUUCAUGAGACCCCGGGUUCGUCUAAACCGUACGAGCUCGCUGAAGUUUGUAACAUUCAAGUCGUUGUAAUAUCCAUCC